rnacentral:lncRNA from 1 species
GCAAUGCAUAGUCAAUUUUCAAAGAUACUUAGCAUCUGUAAACUCCACUUUGUCAAUUCAUAAUAAUUUUAGAACUGAAUUAUUUUUUUUAGCUUUCACUAUGAAUAUCUAGUUAAUAGAACAUUCACAACAAUUAUUCAAUUAAAUGCGUGGAUAAGUUGCAGGGCAAUAUUACUCAAUUUAACGUGGUCUUUUUUCCUAAAAUUAAGUACAACUGGUUACUCAUAGUAUGCUCAAUAUAUUUUACAGAAGCUACUUAACUUGGUACCUCGAAAAUUGACUAGGAUGUAGAAUAAUGGCCAUCAAAGCAUUUUUCUCGUCCAACAGUAAACCCCAUUUCUAAAGGGGAGCUUCUGUUAUGCUCCGAGAGAUGUACAAACACUCAUUCUCGUCUUAUUGGAAUAGAAACAUUAAAUAUGAUGCCUCGUGUAUGGGUCAUUAUCAAAAAAAAAAAACAUGCAAAACUAUGUUAUUGGGUCUUUUUAAGUCACAGACAUGAAAAUAUAUCAAAAUAACACUUGCAUAUGUUAGAUAUGAAUGUUUUGUGCUACA